CAGGUCCAAACCACUGGUAGCAGCCCCUGGUAUAUCCAGGACAUCAGCACAUAGAACCAGUGAAAGGGUCCUCCCUCAUAGUGACGCAUGUCAUAGACUCAGAUUUAUACAAACAAAUGCUGAGCAAACCAUGAAGAGUCUCUGGUAUUUUCAACAAUAUCAUCACAGAGGAACUGUAUUGAUUUCCUUCCUUCAGUGGUCCAAGAACCUGCUGCUCCCGGGUCCUCUCAUUUGAAGACACCCACCGCCUAAGGAUGAAGAGAAGCUCCUUCUUGCAGAUCUGAGGCUGAUUUCCCAACUCCCAGGAACACCCUACCCACAGCCUGUUCCCCAGACCCAGGAACUUUUCAAAUGUAGAGGAGCCUUUAGAAGGAAGCCUUGAGCAUGAGGACAGACCCCCCUCAUCCAACCACCACCUGACUCUGUGUGAACCUGGAACUGUUAGAAUGUCUGUGCUGUGAUAAAAGGUCAUCUCCCUACAAUGUUAUGAUACAGACCUCAAACCUACAAACAUGAGGAACUUCUGCCUCCAGGUUAACUGCUUACCCACUGUACAAGACACGUUACACACAGUCCAGGAGGCGGAGCUUCUGAGAUAUCUAGAAACAGCUUAGAGGCAAAAUGACAAAAUAAAGCAGCAACAACAAAUAAAACCAAUCUUCUCG
rnacentral:lncRNA from 1 species